rnacentral:rRNA from 1 species
AUUGAACGCUGGCGGCAUGCCUUACACAUGCAAGUCGAACGGCAGCACGGGUGCUUGCACCUGGUGGCGAGUGGCGAACGGGUGAGUAAUACAUCGGAACGUACCUUAUCGUGGGGGAUAACGCAGCGAAAGUUGCGCUAAUACCGCAUACGCCCUGAGGGGGAAAGCGGGGGACCGUAAGGCCUCGCGCGAUUAGAGCGGCCGAUGUCUGAUUAGCUUGUUGGUGAGGUAAAAGUUCACCAAGGCGAUGAUCAGUAGCUGGUCUGAGAGGACGAUCAGCCACACUGGGACUGAGACACGGCCCAGACUCCUACGGGAGGCAGCAGUGGGGAAUUUUGGACAAUGGGGGCAACCCUGAUCCAGCAAUGCCGCGUGAGUGAAGAAGGCCUUCGGGUAGUAAAGCUCUUUUGUCAGGGAAGAAACAGCAGCUCUAACACAGUCUGCGAAUGACGGUACCUGAAGAAUAAGCACCGGCUAGCUACGUGCCAGCCGCCGCCGUAA